rnacentral:rRNA from 1 species
GAAUUCGCCCUUAGAGUUUGAUCCUGGCUCAGGACGAACGCUGGCGGCGCGCCUAACACAUGCAAGUCGAACGAGCGAGAGAGAGCUUGCUUUCUCGAGCGAGUGGCGAACGGGUGAGUAACGCGUGAGGAACCUGCCUCAAAGAGGGGGACAACAGUUGGAAACGACUGCUAAUACCGCAUAAGCCCCACAGGUCGGCAUCGACCAGAGGGAAAAGGAGCAAUCCGCUUUGAGAUGGCCUCGCGUCCGAUUAGCUAGUUGGUGAGGUAACGGCCCACCAAGGCAACGAUCGGUAGCCGGACUGAGAGGUUGAACGGCCACAUUGGGACUGAGACACGGCCCAGACUCCUACGGGAGGCAGCAGUGGGGAAUAUUGCACAAUGGGGGAAACCCUGAUGCAGCGACGCCGCGUGGAGGAAGAAGGUCUUCGGAUUGUAAACUCCUGUUGUUGAGGAAGAUAAUGACGGUACUCAACAAGGAAGUGACGGCUAACUACGUGCCAGCAGCCGCGGUAAAACGUAGGUCACAAGCGUUGUCCGGAAUUACUGGGUGUAAAGGGAGCGCAGGCGGGAAGACAAGUUGGAAGUGAAAUCUAUGGGCUCAACCCAUAAACUGCUUUCAAAACUGUUUUUCUUGAGUAGUGCAGAGGUAGGCGGAAUUCCCGGUGUAGCGGUGGAAUGCGUAGAUAUCGGGAGGAACACCAGUGGCGAAGGCGGCCUACUGGGCACCAACUGACGCUGAGGCUCGAAAGUGUGGGUAGCAAACAGGAUUAGAUACCCUGGUAGUCCACACCGUAAACGAUGAUUACUAGGUGUUGGAGGAUUGACCCCUUUCAGUGCCGCAGUUAACACAAUAAGUAAUCCACCUGGGGAGUACGACCGCAAGGUUGAAACUCAAAGGAAUUGACGGGGGCCCGCACAAGCAGUGGAGUAUGUGGUUUAAUUCGACGCAACGCGAAGAACCUUACCAAGUCUUGACAUCCUGCGACGCACAUAGAAAUAUGUGUUUCCUUCGGGACGCAGAGACAGGUGGUGCAUGGUUGUCGUCAGCUCGUGUCGUGAGAUGUUGGGUUAAGUCCCGCAACGAGCGCAACCCUUACUGUCAGUUACUACGCAAGAGGACUCUGGCAGGACUGCCGUUGACAAAACGGAGGAAGGUGGGGAUGACGUCAAAUCAUCAUGCCCUUUAUGACUUGGGCUACACACGUACUACAAUGGCGUUAAACAAAGAGAAGCAAGACCGCGAGGUGGAGCAAAACUCAGAAACAACGUCCCAGUUCGGACUGCAGGCUGCAACUCGCCUGCACGAAGUCGGAAUUGCUAGUAAUCGUGGAUCAGCAUGCCACGGUGAAUACGUUCCCGGGCCUUGCACUCACCGCCCGUCA